rnacentral:rRNA from 1 species
UACGUAGGUGGCGAGCGUUGUCCGGAAUUACUGGGUGUAAAGGGAGCGCAGGCGGGAAGCCAAGUUGGAUGUGAAAUGCCGCAGCUCAACUGCGGAGCUGCAUCCAAAACUGGUUUUCUUGAGUGGAGUAGAGGUAGGCGGAAUUCCUAGUGUAGCGGUGAAAUGCGUAGAUAUUAGGAGGAACACCAGUGGCGAAGGCGGCCUACUGGGCUUUAACUGACGCUGAGGCUCGAAAGCGUGGGGAGCAAACAGG